GUUGCUUUCGCCUAAUCGGUUAAGGCUCCCGGCUCAUAACCGGGCUCAUGAGGGUUAGAUUCCCCCAAGCAGCACCA
rnacentral:tRNA from 1 species